GAUGAACGCUAGCGGCAGGCCUAAUACAUGCAAGUCGAACGGGAUCUGAGGGUAGCUUGCUACCCGAUUUGAGAGUGGCGCACGGGUGCGUAACGCGUGAGCAACCUACCCAUAUCAGGGGGAUAGCCCGGAGAAAUUCGGAUUAACACCGCAUAAGCAUGCAUUAACACAUGUUAAAGCAUUUAAAUAUUUAUAGGAUAUGGAUGGGCUCGCGUGACAUUAGCUAGUUGGUGAGGUAACGGCUAACCAAGGCGACGAUGUCUAGGGGCUCUGAGAGGAGAAUCCCCCACACUGGUACUGAGACACGGACCAGACUCCUACGGGAGGCAGCAGUAAGGAAUAUUGGUCAAUGGGCGGAAGCCUGAACCAGCCAUGCCGCGUGCAGGAUGACUGCCCUAUGGGUUGUAAACUGCUUUUGUCGAGGAAUAAACCUAUCUACGUGUAGCUAGUUGAACGUACUCGAAGAAUAAGGAUCGGCUAACUGCGUGCCAGCCGCCGCCGUAA
rnacentral:rRNA from 1 species